CAUUUGAUUCUUCCAACUCUAGUUGUCUUCAGGUUUUAACUUUCUAGUAAUAUUUUUGUUAAUUGCUAUUCAGGAAUGAUGCGGCUGGUGAUAGAAAAUUGUCAAAUCUGGGCCAUAGACCCAUAUCAAGGUGUUGAUGCCCAGCAGAGUAUAUCUACUCUGAGUUCAGACCGCACUGAGGCUUUUCUAAAACAAUCCAACUUGAAGAUGAGUCGUCCAAGCUAAAACCCAAUGGACCUGGACUUCUUGAGGUUCUCAGUUCAUCAUCUCCUUUGAAGCUAAUCAUAGUCUAUAUAGGUGUGUUUUUUCUUUUUCUACAUCCCUGUUUCUAUAUGCUUGAUGUUGA